rnacentral:rRNA from 1 species
GACGAACGCUGGCGGCGUGCUUAACACAUGCAAGUCGAACGGUAAGGCCCUUCGGGGUACACGAGUGGCGAACGGGUGAGUAACACGUGGGUGAUCUGCCCUGCACUUCGGGAUAAGCCUGGGAAACUGGGUCUAAUACCGGAUAGGAUCACUGCCUGCAUGGGUGGUGGUGGAAAGCUUUUGCGGUGUGGGAUGGGCCCGCGGCCUAUCAGCUUGUUGGUGGGGUGAUGGCCUACCAAGGCGACGACGGGUAGCCGGCCUGAGAGGGUGACCGGCCACACUGGGACUGAGAUGCGGCCCAGACUCCUACGGGAGGCAGCAGUGGGGAAGAUUGCACAAUGGGCGCAAGCCUGAUGCAGCGACGCCGCGUGAGGGAUGACGGCCUUCGGGUUGUAAACCUCUUUCAGCACCGACGAAGCGCAAGUGACGGUAGGUGCAGAAGAAGGACCGGCCAACUACGUGCCAGCCGCCGCUGUAA